rnacentral:lncRNA from 1 species
UUUAUAAAUGCUCGCAUUUGUAACGAGGAGGUCAAGGUCCGUUUAUUAAUUUCCAUCCAUUUUCCCUUUUCACAAGGGCUGGGUGGGGAGGGGGAAGGAAGACACAACCGCACCAUCUGCCCACAUCUUCCCUGCUCUGAAAACAGCAACGCGCAAAGCGGGGAGCGGGAGGGGGGGGUUAAGGAAACCCCAAUCUCAAGGCGCUCCCCAACUCCUCCGGCCAGCGGAAAGGUGGCACAAACCCAUUUCCGAAGCGGCCCUACAGAGACGGCGCACACACCUCGGCCGGCCCCAAGCCCGGCCCCGCCGCCCCCGAGCCCCCCGGGGCUGCCCCGACCCGACCCAGCCGCCGCCCCUACCUCGCCCGCCCGCGCCGCCGGCCGUGGAGUUGCCGCAGCCCAUGGGCGCCGCCCGGGCCGCCCCGCGGUGCGGAGCCGCGCUGAGGGGAGCGGCGGCGGGAGGCAGCCGGCGGCGGGCGGAGCCGGGUGGGAGAUAAAGCCGCGGGGACCCCUCCUCCUCCCCUUUUCCUCCUCCUCCUCCUCCUCCUCCUCCUCCUCCUCUCCCCACCCAUCGCCCCGGAAACCGCCGGCCCUGCCCCGCUCUGCUUCGCCGGCGCAUCCCCGCGGAAAGCCCCGCACCUUCCCGGCCAUCCUCCGUACCCCUUCGGCAGCUCCGGGACACCCCUCAUCCCCUGGGGUGGCACAGGGCGAGGCGGCAGAGCCUUCGCCUGCCAUAGGCACCAUCUAUUGCUGCUUCCUUAGAUGGUUGGUUGCUUUUGGUGUUUCUCCUCUGACAGAAGCAUCACGCUGCCAUUGGGUUGCCAUUGGGACCCACUGGAUUGGGAAGAGUUACAGAUUCACUUUUACCCAUCGAUACCAACAGAACAGAGAAACAUGCAAGACGAGUUUACAAACUCUACUAGGAUUCUUUUUUAUGGGCAGCCUGAUCUGGUGGGUGGCAGCCCUGCCCGCAGCAGGGGGUUGGAAAGGCAUGGCCUUUAGGAUCCCUUCCAACUGA